rnacentral:lncRNA from 1 species
UGCUACAAAAAACACCAAUUUUUUAUUCAUAUCAAAUGUCAUAUUCAUUACAAAUCAUAAGAUUGUCCAAAACAUACAAAAUUUACAAAAAUGGCACUUUAACCAAAGUCAACUCACCCAUUUUACAUCCCAAAACCCUAAUCCCUAUUUCACUCUUGAUCCUUGAUUAGUUCCAUGUGCCAAUGUUACUUCAUGUGCAAGAUAUAUGAACAUCCAUGUUGCAAGCCAUUAUCCAACAAUCUAUUCCAUGUGUGCAUGACCUACAAAAGACCAACCAAAGACAUUGUAGCCUAUCAUGCAUUCAAACAAGGUAUUAAACAUCAUUCAUAUGUUAACUAUGUCAUGCAAAAGCAAUGUAUCAACCAUAUGUAAAGAGCCAUACAAAGCCAAUGAAACAUGGUCCAACCAUAGGCAUUUCAAGCCAUCAAAGUAAACCAAGUUCAGGCCAAAUGCCAACCCAAUGCAGUCAGAACUUGCAACCUGCAAUAAUGCAUUAGAAACUCAGGCCCCAAAGCAGACCAUCAUGCAAACUAAAACUCACAAGAACAUGCCAUGGUCUAAAAUCAUGCAUGGCAUCACAAAUGUAACACAAUUCUGCAGGAUUUUACCAAUCCUAUAGCACACCCAAAAAACAUGAGCAAAGACCAAGCAACAUACAAUUUGCUACACCAUGAACCAAACCUGAACCAGUCUGUAAUCAAGCCUUGCAGCAAGCAUCAACAUGCAGAACAAUAUCCCUAAACCAGUCUACAGAAUGCACACCUUGCAAUGCAUUAUUAGUAACAACAUAAACCUGAUAAACAUAAUAAGCUACACCAACAUAUGCAGACACACAUCCAAACAAGCUAAGCAAGAUAUGCACACCAGUCCAAUUCAGUAGCAGUUGAACAAGAAAAAACCAAAUCAGUAGUCAUGUUCAGAUCAAAUGCAUCCAACAAAACCUUGCCAAAAUCAUACCAAAUCAUCAUACAAAACCAUGCCAAAAUCAUACCAAAUCAUCAUACAAAACCA